rnacentral:rRNA from 1 species
UAUCUCACUAUUACUACAUACUACCGUUUGUGCCCAUCCCUUCCGCGCAGGUGUCCUAUCUGCUCACGGUGGUUGUAAAACGCCCGGUCAGUGCGCAGGAAAAGCCACCAACAGUGAUUGCCCUAGUAACGGCGAGUGAAGCGGCAACAGCUCAAAUUUGAAAUCUGGUCCUUGGGGGCCCGAGUUGUAAUUUGCAGAGGAUGCUUUUGGCGCGGUGCCUUCCGAGUGCCCUGGAACGGGACGCCACAGAGGGUGAGAGCCCCGUAUGGUUGGACACCAAGCCUAUGUAAAGCUCCUUCGACGAGUCGAGUAGUUUGGGAAUGCUGCUCAAAAUGGGAGGUAAACCCCUUCUAAAGCUAAAUACUGGCCAGAGACCGAUAGCGCACAAGUAGAGUGAUCGAAAGAUGAAAAGCACUUUGAAAAGAGAGUUAAAAAGCACGUGAAAUCGUUGAAAGGGAAGCGUUUGCGACCAGACUUGCGCCCGUCGGAUCAACCGUCCCUCGUGGGCGGCGCACUCCGGCGGGCUCAGGCCAGCAUCAGUUUUCCUGGGGGGAGAAAGGCGGUGGGAAUGUAGCUCUUCGGAGUGUUAUAGCCCGCCGCGUAAUACCCCCGGGGGGACUGAGGACCGCGCGAAAGCAAGGAUGCUGGCGUAAUGGUCGUCAGCGACCCGUCUUGAAACACGGACCAAGGAGUCGUCCUAAUAUGCGAGUGUACGGGUGUAAAACCCCUGCGCGUAAUGAAAGUGAACGGAGGUGAGAGCUUCGGCGCAUCAUCGACCGAUCCUGAUGUUCUCGGAUGGAUUUG